ensembl:miRNA MIR7110 microRNA 7110
GGGGCUGGGGGUGUGGGGAGAGAGAGUGCACAGCCAGCUCAGGGAUUAAAGCUCUUUCUCUCUCUCUCUCUCCCACUUCCCUGCAG